GAUGAAGAACGUAGCGAAAUGCGAUAAGUAAUGUGAAUUGCAGAAUUCAGUGAAUCAUCGAAUCUUUGAACGCACAUUGCGCCCGCCAGUAUUCUGGCGGGCAUGCCUGUUCGAGCGUCAUUACAACCCUCAGGCCCCCGGGCCUGGCGUUGGGGAUCGGCGGAGCCCCCCGUGGGCACACGCCGUCCCCCAAAUGCAGUGGCGGUCCCGCCGCAGCUUCCAUCGCGUAGUAGCUAACACCUCGCGACUGGAGAGCGGCGCGGCCACGCCGUAAAACACCAAACUCUUCUGAAGUUGACCUCGAAUCAGGUAGGAAUACCCGCUGAACUUAAGCAUAUCAAUAAGCGGAGGA
rnacentral:misc_RNA from 1 species